GGAAAAACCCAACCAUAGGUCGAUUUUUUGCCCAUAUAUUCAAGAUCAAACUACGUCAUACCUCAGGAAUUAUUUAAACCCAUGUAAAAUGCAAGGCUGUCAAGUCUCCAAGUCCGCAACAAUAUCCCCCAGUUACGUUAUUGUCCAUCUUGUCGAGGUUACCACACCAAAUCGGUCACCAACACUACAACAACAACACCAAUAAAGAUCGUAAAUUUCUGUCUCGACUCCAUCGUGAUCAAUGAGAGGAAAGUCAUCACCAUCAACAUCACCGUCACGGUGCCAGUCAGACUUGUCCAUCGCUGUUCUAAUUCAUUUUCAUCAACACUAAAUCCUUCAACACCUCAACCAUGACGCCAGUCAACCAUUAUGUUUCUCUUGUUGCAGAUGGCUAUCACCGACAACGGCAACGUUUUC